AGGACGAACGCUGGCGGCGUGCUUAACACAUGCAAGUCGAACGGUGACGAGGGAGCUUGCUCCCUCUGAUCAGUGGCGAACGGGUGAGUAACACGUGAGUAACCUGCCCCAGACUCUGGGAUAACAUCGGGAAACCGGUGCUAAUACCGGAUAUGAGACGAGACUGCAUGGUCAUCGUCUGGAAAGAUUUAUCGGUCUGGGAUGGACUCGCGCCUAUCAGCUAGUUGGUGAGGUAACGCUCACCAAGGCGACGACGGUA
rnacentral:rRNA from 1 species